rnacentral:rRNA from 1 species
UACGGGGGGGGGUAAGCGUUGUUCGGAAUUACUGGGCGUAAAGGGCUCGUAGGCGGCCAACUAAGUCAGACGUGAAAUCCCUCAGCUUAACUGGGGAGCUGCGUCUGAUACUGGAUGGCUUGGAUUCGGGAGAGGAAUGCGGAAUUCCAGGUGUAGCGGUGAAAUGCGUAGAUAUCUGGAGGAACACCGGUGGCGAAGGCGGCAUUCUGGACCGAUAUUGACGCUGAGGAGCGAAAGCCAGGGGAGCAAACGGG